GAUGAACGCUGGCGGCGUGCCUAACACAUGCAAGUCGAACGGUAGCAGGCCUUCGGGCGCUGACGAGUGGCGGACGGGUGAGUAACGCGUAGGAAUCUGCCUGGUAGUGGGGGACAACGUGGGGAAACUCACGCUAAUACCGCAUACGCCCUACGGGGGAAAGCGGGGGCUCUUCGGACCUCGCGCUAACAGAUGAGCCUGCGUGGGAUUAGCUAGUUGGUAGGGUAAAGGCCUACCAAGGCGACGAUCCCUAGCUGGUCUGAGAGGACGAUCAGCCACACUGGGACUGAGACACGGCCCAGACACCUACGGGUGGCUG
rnacentral:rRNA from 1 species